rnacentral:misc_RNA from 1 species
AAAUCUCAACCUUCUCGGUUUCUUCUGGAAACCAAAGGAGGCUUGGACUUUGGAGGCCUUUGCUGGCGUCUCUCUCUUUUGAGAGCCCAGCUCCUCUUAAAUGAAUUAGCGGGGUCCUCUUUGCUGGUCCUCGACAUGUGAUAAGAUGUUUCCAUGUCUUGGUUUCUGGCUCUGUUGCUUUUGGGACCCGCUUCUAACCGUCUCGACGAGACAACGUUUGAGCACGUCUCCCGACGCUCUCAACCUCACGAAC